UACGUAGGGUGCAAGCGUUGUCCGGAAUUAUUGGGCGUAAAGAGCUCGUAGGCGGUUUGUCGCGUCUGCUGUGAAAUCUGGGGGCUCAACCCCCAGCCUGCAGUGGGUACGGGCAGACUAGAGUGGCGGUAGGGGAGAUUGGAAUUCCUGGUGUAGCGGUGGAAUGCGCAGAUAUCAGGAGGAACACCAAUGGCGAAGGCAGAUCUCUGGGCCGUAACUGACGCUGAGGAGCGAAAGCAUGGGGAGCGAACAGG
rnacentral:rRNA from 1 species